CAUCCUCUGAACUCUGCUGCCAGCUCAAGGGCAGCGCAGGGUGCUCCAGGCACAGGCAUGGCAUGUGGGAGCCCUGCAAAGUGGGAUGCAAGGGGAUAUCACAGAGCACCUGCUGGGAGGAAGGAGAGGAAGAGGAAGAGGAGGGGCAGAUGGAGAUCUUGUGAUGCAGUUGUCCUGAUGCUUUCACAUGCUCCUCCUCCUUCUGGGGUGUGGGAGUGGAAACCUGCUGUGCUGGGAGCUGCUGGCUGGGGUGAGAGGAGCAGAGAUGCAGUGCUCUGGGACAGUUCAUCCUGCUGACAUGAAUCUGCUGGCUUUUCUCCUGCCGCUACCUGUUGCUCUGAAUGGAUUCGGUGAAAGGAAGCUUUGGGAUGGCAACACUGAAAUUCUAAGCCCUGCAAGAAGAGCAGACGUCACAGCUCAUACUUCUGUGAACAACCAUGUUCAAGGAUGAAGCAUGGGAAGAGUGAAAUUUCAUCAGACAUCACCGGCCAACGCCAUGCGACCUCUCUGUGAGCUGCAGCCACUGCCCUGGAAUUAGACUGAUGCAUUAGCUUCACAGCAAGGUCACAUACCCCUCUAGUUUGAUGGC